UCUCAGUUCGGAUUGGAGUCUGCAACCCGACUCCAUGAAGCUGGAUUCGCUAGUAAUCGCGGAUCAGCAUGCCGCGGUGAAUACGUUCCCGGGCCUUGUACACACCGCCCGUCACACCAUGAGAGUCGGGAACACCCGAAGUCCGUAGUCUAACCCGCAAGGGAGGGCGCGGCCGAAGGUGGGUCCGGUAAUUGGGGUGAAGUCGUAACAAGGUAUC
rnacentral:rRNA from 1 species